rnacentral:lncRNA from 1 species
GGUCAAGCACAAUUUCUAAUCCUCAAUAUCAUUUUACAUAACAUAACUAUUCAGUUAUACAUCAUCUUACAAUUUAUCAUGUCCAUUUUCUAACUAUUACAAAAACAAAACUUUACUCUUCUUGACUUCUCUGUCUAGCCCGUACCUGCAGUCCUGGGGGAUUAGGGAGAAGGGGUGAGCUACUAGAGCCCAGUGAGCAGAAUAAUAGAAAACAAUAUUUAAAAUCUCAUGCCAUCAUGUAAUGCAACACAUCACAGCAAAUCACAUCUCGGAUGGUAUUGUCACCGAUAGUCCUCUACAUUUCCAAAGUGCCGGGACGUAGAAUGGGUACAACCGGUCUUUCUCUUAACAUAAUAUAUCAUACAUACCAAUGUGCCAGGGACGUAGAAUGGGUACAACCUGGACUUUCUCUUACAUAGUGCCAGGGACGUAGAAUGGGUACAACCUGGACUUCCAUACCAUAUCAUGUCGUAACAUCAUCAUAUCAUAUGAGGACUAAAGGGUCAUCCAAUAACCAAUCCAUAUCAACAUCAUAAAUGCAAUGCAACAUAUUCGUGAUUUCUAAUGCAAACAACCUAAUUCAUCACAUGGCAUUCAUGAUGCAUGAACAUGCUCAACUGUAUAAUUCAUUUGCUUUAAAAACAUAAAGGUUUAUUCUACUCACCUCUGGCUGAAGCUCUACUGACUCAGAAGCAGCUGAACUCACUGCUGGGGUCCUCGGUUCCUCGGGUCCGAACCU